GACGUAGGACACAAGCGUUAUCCGGAUUUACUGGGCGUAAAGCGUCUGCAGGCGGACAGGUAAGUUGGGCGUGAAAGCUCCGGGCCCAACCCGGAGAGGUCGUUCAAUACUGCGUGUCUAGAGGGUGUCAGAGGGGAGUGGAAUUUCCGGAGUAGCGGUAAAAUGCGCAGAGAUCGGAAAGAACACCAAUGGCGAAGGCAGCUCCCUGGGGCAACCCUGACGCUAAGAGACGAAAGCUAGGGGAGCGAACAGGAUUAGAGACCCUGGUAGUCCUAGCCCUAAACGAUGGAUGCUGGAUGUGGGGCCAUAGCGCUCCGUGUCGAAGCGAACGCGUUAAGCAUCCCGCCUGGGGACUACGGCCGCAAGGUUAAAACUCAAACGAAUUGACGGGACCCCGCACAAGCAGCGGAGCGUGUGGUUUAAUUCGAUGCUACACGAAGAACCUUACCUGGGUUUGACAUCUAGGUGGUAGUGAAGCGAAAGCGGAGCGACCCUUCGGGGAGCCUAGACAGGUGCUGCAUGGCUGUCGUCAGCUCGUGCCGUGAGGUGUCGGGUUAAGUCCCGUAACGAGCGCAACCCUUGCCCUCCGUUAUACGUGUCAGAGGGGACUGCCGGCGGUAAGCCGGAGGAAGGUGGGGAUGACGUCAAGUCAGCAUGGCCUUUAUAUCCAGGGCUACACACACGCUACAAUGGCCAGUACAAAGGGCAGCGAAGCCGCGAGGUGGAGCGAAUCCCAGCAAAGCUGGUCGUAGUUCGGAUUGCAGGCUGCAACCCGCCUGCAUGAAGCUGGAGUUGCUAGUAACCGCGCGUCAGCCAUAGUGCGG
rnacentral:rRNA from 1 species